rnacentral:rRNA from 1 species
AGAUUGAGUUUGAUCCUGGCUCAGAUUGAACGCUGGCGGAAUGCUUUACACAUGCAAGUCGAACGGCAGCACGGGAGCUUGCUCCUGGUGGCGAGUGGCGAACGGGUGAGUAAUGCGUCGGAACGUACCGAGUAAUGGGGGAUAACGCACCGAAAGGUGUGCUAAUACCGCAUACGCCCUGAGGGGGAAAGUGGGGGAUCGCAAGACCUCACGUUAUUCGAGCGGCUGACGUCUGAUUAGCUAGUUGGUGGGGUAAAGGCCUACCAAGGCGACGAUCAGUAGCGGGUCUGAGAGGAUGAUCCGCCACACUGGGACUGAGACACGGCCCAGACUCCUACGGGAGGCAGCAGUGGGGAAUUUUGGACAAUGGGGGCAACCCUGAUCCAGCCAUUCCGCGUGAGUGAAGAAGGCCUUCGGGUUGUAAAGCUCUUUCAGCUGGAACGAAACGGUGAGCUCUAACAUAGCUUGCUAAUGACGGUACCAGCAGAAGAAGCACCGGCUAACUACGUGCCAGCAGCCGCGGUAAUACGUAGGGUGCGAGCGUUAAUCGGAAUUACUGGGCGUAAAGCGUGCGCAGGCGGAUUGUUAAGCAAGAUGUGAAAUCCCCGGGCUUAACCUGGGAAUGGCAUUUUGAACUGGCAGUCUAGAGUGUGUCAGAGGGGGGUGGAAUUCCACGUGUAGCAGUGAAAUGCGUAGAGAUGUGGAGGAACACCGAUGGCG